UACGUAGGGGGCGAGCGUUGUCCGGAAUUAUUGGGCGUAAAGAGCGUGUAGGCGGUUCGGUAAGUCUGUCGUGAAAUCCUGGGGCUCAACCUCGGGCGUGCGAUGGAUACUGCCGGGCUAGAGGGUGGUAGAGGCGAGUGGAAUUCCCGGUGUAGCGGUGAAAUGCGCAGAUAUCGGGGGGAAUACCAGUGGCGAAAGCGGCACCCCAGCGUUAGCCUGACGCUCAUGUGCGAAAGCGUGGGGAGCGAACGGG
rnacentral:rRNA from 1 species